AAGCUUCCCGAAAGAAAUGGGAAUGCUGCCAGAAAAUAGGUUUUCCUCAGCGCCUAAUAUAUACAAAUUGACAAGAUUGCCAAUGUCCGCCGGAAUUCUACCGGAUAUUUGGUUUCUUCCUAAACUUAGAUCACCAAGGGUAGAAAUAUUAACUAUAGUGCGAGGUAAUACAUCGCCAAAAUUGUUAUCAGCAAGAGAUAGAGCUUGGAGAUUGCUGCAGUUUGACAAAGA
rnacentral:misc_RNA from 1 species